GAUCCUGGCUCAGAACGACGCUGGCGGCAGGCCUAACACAUGCAAGUCGAGCGCCCCGCAAGGGGAGCGGCGGACGGGUGAGUAACGCGUGGGAACGUGCCUCUUGCUACGGAAUAGCCUCGGGAAACUGGGAGUAAUACCGUAUGUGCCCUACGGGGGAAAGAUUUAUCGGCAAGAGAUCGGCCCGCGUUGGAUUAGGUAGUUGGUGGGGUAAUGGCCUACCAAGGCGACGAUCCGUAGCGGGUCUGAGAGGAUGAUCCGCCACACUGGGACUGAGACACGGCCCAGACUCCUACGGGAGGCAGCAGUGGGGAAUUUUGGACAAUGGGCGGAAGCCUGAUCCAGCCAUGCCGCGUGAGUGAAGAAGGCCUUCGGGUUGUAAAGCUCUUUCGGCGGGGAAGAAAUUGCUUGGGUUAAUACCCUGAGUAGAUGACGGUACCCGAAUAAGAAGCACCGGCUAACUACGUG
rnacentral:rRNA from 1 species